UACGUAGGUGACCAGCGUUGUCCGGAUUUACUGGGCGUAAAGAGCGCGCAGGCGGUCGUUCAAGUCGAGUGUGAAAGCCCCCCGGCUCAACUGGGGAGGGUCACUCGAUACUGAUCGACUUGAAGGCAGGAGAGGGAAGCGGAAUUCCCGGUGUAGUGGUGAAAUGCGUAGAUAUCGGGAGGAACACCAGUGGCGAAGGCGGCUUCCUGGCCUGUUCUUGACGCUGAGGCGGCGAAAGCU
rnacentral:rRNA from 1 species